AGGACGAACGCUGGCGGCGUGCUUAACACAUGCAAGUCGAGCGGAAAGGCCCUUCGGGGUACUCGAGCGGCGAACGGGUGAGUAACACGUGAGCAACCUGCCCUUAGCUUCGGGAUAGCUCCGGGAAACCGGAAUUAAAUACCGAAUAUGAUUUUUGCUGACAUCAGCAGAAGUGGAAAGUUUUCGGCUAGGGAUGGACUCGCGGCCUAUCAGCUAGUUGGUGAGGUAACGGCCCACCAAGGCGACGACGGGUA
rnacentral:rRNA from 1 species